UCAUGUUCUCAAGCCCUGCACUGAUGCUCAUGGAGGAGUCCUGGGGGUGUGAUGGGCAGAUCGUGGCAAUGAGGAAGGGGAAUGUUUGCAGAGUCCUCACCAGGAAAGGGGUAAAAAGAGCUAAGCGCCCAAGAACAAAACGAAGCCAGGAAGGACAUGAUAUUGGACCAGAAGAGUUCAGAACACGACAGAGGCGUCCUCGCUAAUCCACACAGCCGCCCUCCGAGGUCAUGGCUUCAGGGAGGUCCAGCCACUCGGCAGCUGAGAAUAUCUUUGCCUGCCAGGGCUGUGUGUGCCCUGAUGAAACCACAGUGUUCGCAGUAGCGUCGGGGAUGAGAAGGGCAAGUCUCAACGAGGCACGACAUCCAGGGCUCCUGCUGGCAUUCACCACGCAGUGAUCAGCCGGACCUGGCCCGCAUCUCUGUCUCCAGGAGGGACGUUGUGACCUGACCCACAUGGACAGCUUCAAGAACAAAGGAUUCUGACACCAAGAAUUUUGCAACAACCAACCAUUACUCCUUCCCUUUUUAGUAUAAAAAGAAGCCUGAAUUCUGACUCGGCUCUCCAGGACAUUAGUCUGCCGUCUUCUUGGUCUGCUGUCUUUCUGAAUAAAGUUGUUAUUCCUUGCC